UCUUUGCUAGUAUAUCGGUUAGUACACGCGCCUGUCAUUGCACCUAAAGGUGCGCGCGAAAGCUGGGUUCGACUCCCAGGCAGAGAG